UACGUAGGGUGCGAGCGUUAAUCGGAAUUACUGGGCGUAAAGCGCGUGUAGGCGGCUCUGCAAGUCGGAUGUGAAAUCCCACGGCUCAACCAUGGAAGUGCAUUCGAAACUGCAGGGCUAGAGUCCUGGAGAGGAAGGUGGAAUGCUUGGUGUAGAGGUGAAAUUCGUAGAUAUCAAGCGGAACACCGGUGGCGAAGGCGGCCUUCUGGACAGUGACUGACGCUGAGACGCGAAAGCGUGGGGAGCAAACAGG
rnacentral:rRNA from 1 species